rnacentral:lncRNA from 1 species
AUGCUACCUGCACUCAUCAAAUCAAUCAUUAGUGAUAAAAUAUCUUGUCUAUAUGCAUGCUAUGCACAAACAAAUGCAACAAACAAGUGCAACGAUCCAACUAGAUCCUAUACUACCGGUUACUCACGCUCACGCGGUCUAGGACGUCCUACAGCCAGACCUCCUCUGAUACCAACACUUGUGGCACCCCCACUCAGAGGAAACCGAAACACCCCGUAUUCUAGCCCAGGGACAAGUCUUCUGGAAUACGGCACCGUUGGCAUAGAACAAAUCAGCUCUUUAUUACUAUGGAAAAGGUUACAAGGGUACAUGGAUUACAACGAUACUGCACCUGCCUACGGUAAAAUUCUACGCUAGCAGCGAAACAACGACCGUUGUGAUGAACUCCACUCCACAGGGACUCUGGCUGGAACGUGUAUCCUAGCUCGCAACUCAGGAUCCUUGACAAGCAAGCAAUCAUGGCAUGACCUGUAAACUGGCAUGACACGCCAGGUGAGUACUUUGAAUGUACUCGCAAGCUCACAACAAACAUCAACAUGAAGACAAGACAACAUCAUAGCAAUCAAGAUUAGGUAAAGAUUUAUCUUCGUCGAAGGGAUAGUUGAAACUAACUAUACCAGGCUUCUCUCACUGUACUCUAGUGACCAACUCGUGAUCUCGCCAGGAACCUUCAGCGAAUAUCCUCAAGACGGACAUCAAAACUUGUCACCGGCAUGAUGCCCAACUGCUACCAUACUCAAACGAGUUCUUCCAUCAUUAUCAUCACUAUCAUGGUUAUGGUUGACCACCUACUGAGGUCUGGACGGGCUGUCCAAUACCAUGGACGCGGCUAUUCGAAUAGAUUUUUCACUCUGCAGAGGUUGCGCACUUUACUCACAUCAUGGAGCACUGACCUCGUGAUCCCAUUCGGGUGGAUCAAUAUUGCUCCAAUGAAACCUGCCUGACCCGUAACUCUCCCAUCAUACCACAUGCAUUCAUCCUCCCUUAGAGUCCUACCCUGGGUGGCCCAUGUGUCCUCAUUACACCUGCCACCGUCGUGGCCAAACUAAACUGUCCCAAACGGGGACGGGCCCAAACAACUCAACUGGGCUCACAAGGUUAUCGCCGCCUACAUGGCCAGGGCAGCACGCGUGCAUAAACUUCCCUCUUUGGUGGUACCGAUAAAAGAACACGGGAUCAGACCAAGUCAAGGCCGUCCCAUACCGGCAAAUGUGGCUGCACUAAUAAGCCCAGACAGGUGACUGUCGAUUAACCAACUAAGUAUCCUAUCCCUGAAUAAUAUUUCUUUCAUGGUUGACACUCCGAUAUCAUAGUAAUUGAAUAACCAAUAAGCUCAGGCCACUGCUAUUGAUUCAUAUGCACAAACUGCCAGAUGAAACCCAAAAUAAUCAUAGAUAGUAAUCUCCAACAUCAUGGCAUCGACUAGUGGAUAAAAUACUAGUUGCUAACAAUCCCACACUCAACAUAGUAGUCCCCUAUUCAAGAAUUUAUUCAAACGUUGCAUAAUCUAAUCCAAACUACAAAUAAUUAUAAUUGCGGUUAAAGUAAUAGGUUAAACUAUGAUAUUGCAAUGCAAUUAUGCAAAUGAGGGUUGUGGCUUGCCUGGGGGUGAAGGAACCAUCGGGAAGAAGUGCGGAGAGUCCGCGAAAUUGACUGCCGGAAACAGUUCUCUCUCGGAGGGGGCUGAUUACAGGCAAGGUCAAAAUGGUCAUUUCCACUAUGUGAACACAUAGUUAAAAUGAUACCAACAUGACGGGCUCAACGCUAUGAAGACAUGGGCUUUGGAAUCAACUCGAUCGGAGUUACGGUCGUAAAGUUGUGGUCGUUCACUUUUUAGGUAGAAAAAUGCCCUAACGAGCGGACGUUCACUAAAUAGUCCUUUCGGCCAGCGGCUGAAAAAAUGAAAGCGCCUUUUCCGAAAUUCGUAUUCGGUAAACCGAAAACGCAUUUCAUGAAAUGCGCCUCCACUUUAACUGACGCACGGGCCUGUUGACUUCAUUAGUCCAGCUGACGGGUGGGACCUACCCCAUCCCCUCUCUCUCCUCGCUCUUCUUCCCGCUUGCGAUAAGAGACAGACGAGGAGCGGGGGCGCUCAGCCGGCGAUGGCCCGGUCGGCUUCGUCCACCUCCGGCCUUGGCGAGACCACCAGCAGGACCAAGACGAGGCGCCUCGUCCGCCUGGACCUGCUACUAGCGCCGGGGAGUAGCAGGACGACUGUACCGUGCGAUGGCCACGAGCAGAGGCGGCGGUCGAGCAGUGGAGCCGCGGCCAUGCCUACUCCGGCGUCGAGCAAAGAGGACGGGGAGGUGCACCAGGAGAGGGGGGUUCUACUGCGAGUAAAAUGGAGAGGAGAAGAGUGCUGCCUUGGCCUAAUUUUGACGGAGGAGGCCGGCGACCAUGGCGACAAUGGAGGACGAGGAGGGCUUCGGGAGCUUGGGUGAUGGGCUGGGGAGGACCAAGGGGAAGUGGCGAGGUUGGCGGUGACGAUGAGAGGGUCUCGGGGCAAGCC